UACAGAGGCCUCAAGCGUUGUUCGGAUUCAUUGGGCGUAAAGGGUGCGUAGGUGGCUUGUUAAGUUGAAGGUGAAAUCUCGGGGCUCAACUCCGAAACUGCCUUCAAUACUGGCGAGCUCGAGGACUGUAGAGGAGAAUGGAAUUCACGGUGUAGCAGUGAAUGCGUAGAUAUCGUGAGGAAGACCAGUGGCGAAGGCGAUUCUCUGGGCAGUUCCUGACACUGAGGCACGAAGGCCAGGGGAGCGAACGGG
rnacentral:rRNA from 1 species